rnacentral:misc_RNA from 1 species
UGUUGACCCAUCCAUAAAAGAUGAUGAUAUCUCCCAGGAACCAUCUGUUACCUUGGAGGAGUCCACAGCGGAAGUGAACAUUGCCAACAACAUAAAUGUGCCUGAAGUCCUUCAUCAUGAGACAUCUGAAUCUGCUUUGGUCCAGAGUCUAGAGUACAAAUCAAAGGUUGAUGAAUUUGAUUUUAAAGACAACAUCCUUGAUAAAAUUGUCUAUGAGGACAGUGGUCAUGUCUUAGAACACCCCGACUAUUCAGCAGAAACUCAGGGUCUUUUGUUGCUGAGGAAAAUAUCAAUGAAGAUGAAGAUGAGAUAAAGGAGAUUGAUGAAGGAUUGUUGUCAGAACUGGACACAGUUGG